rnacentral:rRNA from 1 species
UACGUAGGGUGCGAGCGUUAAUCGGAAUUACUGGGCGUAGAGCGUGCGCAGGCGGUUUUGUAAGCCAGAUGUGAAAUCCCCGGGCUCAACCUGGGAACUGCAUUUGUGACUGCAUAGCUAGAGUACGGUAGAGGGGGAUGGAAUUCCGCGUGUAGCAGUGAAAUGCGUAGAUAUGCGGAGGAACACCGAUGGCGAAGGCAAUCCCCCUGGACCUGUACUGACGCUCAUGCACGAAAGCGUGGGGAGCAAAC